AUUGAUACAGACAGCAGAACGGUGGCCAAGAAAGUCGGAAUUCGCUCUGGAGUGUGUAACAACUUACCUGCCGAAUCGACCGCUCCCGAAAAUGAACGGCGCUGGA
rnacentral:rRNA from 1 species